GGUUAAGCGACUAAGCGUACACGGUGGAUGCCCUGGCAGUCAGAGGCGAUGAAGGGCGUGCUAAUCUGCGAUAAGCGCCGGUAAGGUGAUAUGAACCGUUAUAACCGGCGAUACCCGAAUGGGGAAACCCAGUGUGAUUCGUCACACUAUCAUUAACUGAAUCCAUAGGUU
rnacentral:rRNA from 1 species